rnacentral:rRNA from 1 species
UAAUACGGAGGGUGCGAGCGUUGUCCGGAAUCACUGGGCGUAAAGGGCGCGUAGGUGGCUCGUGCAAGGGGGCGGUGAAAGCCCGGGGCUCAACCCCGGGUCUGCCGGACCGACUGCGGAGCUUGAGCACACUAGGGGCAAGUGGAAUUCCGGGUGUAGCGGUGGAAUGCGUAGAGAUCCGGAAGAACACCGGUGGCGAAGGCGGCUUGCUGGGGUGUGACUGACACUGAUGCGCGACAGCGUGGGGAGCAAACAGGAUUAGAUACCCUGGUAGUCCACGCCGUAAACGAUGGGUACUAGGUGCUCGGGGGAGCGACCCCUUGAGUGCCGUCGCUAACGCAUUAAGUACCCCGCCUGGGGAGUACGGCCGCAAGGCUG